rnacentral:rRNA from 1 species
GACGAACGCUGGCGGCGCGCUUAACACAUGCAAGUCGAGCGAGAACCAGGGCUUCGGCUCUGGGGACAGCGGCGAACGGGUGAGUAACACGUGAGUAAUCUGCCCUCGACACUGGGAUAGCCCGGGGAAACCCGGAUUAAUACCGGAUAGCCUUUCGAGCUCUCGGGCUCGUCAGAAAAGGAUGGCUUCGGCUUUCGGUUGAGGAUGAGCCUGCGGCGGAUUAGCUUGUUGGUGAGGAACGGCUCACCAAGGCGACAAUCCGUAGCUGGUCUGAGAGGACGAUCAGCCACACUGGGACUGAGACACGGCCCAGACUCCUACGGGAGGCAGCAGUGGGGAAUCUUGCGCAAUGAGCGAAAGCUUGACGCAGCGACGCCGCGUGAGGGAAGAAGGCCUCGG